rnacentral:misc_RNA from 1 species
AGAGUUUCCUUUAGUCUGAUGGUUAUGUUGCUCAUGUUCUUCACUGCUGAUAUUUGUUCAAGUUUUAGGUUGUUGUUAAUUUGUUUUGGUAUAGUUUCGAAUUCCUUUUGUAAUUGUUCCCUCAAACUAGAUUUCUCCAAAUCUGUGAGUCUCUCGUACGAUAUGGUUUGGAAACCAUAUUUUGCAUUUUUCUUAUGUCUGGCAAAAGUUUUCAAAUUACUGCUUCAUGAGAUUUAAUUUUCUAGAAUCCUAAACAACCAUAUGGGAAAUUGUUCGCUUUCUCUUGUGUUCCCGAUUAAAUUUUUCGUUGUUAUCCCUAGUUCUCACAUCAUGUUCAUGAUUUCCUCUCGCAACUGUUUCACAAAAUAUCGUGUCUAUUUGAUCUGCUUCUUA